rnacentral:lncRNA from 1 species
UCCGACGAGCUGCCAAUGUAAUACAACUGCUUAUGAUCAUACUUCCUCAGCACCCUCACCACAUUUUCCACGAUGAACACCGUGUCAUCGUCGCCCAUCACAAACCACCUUACAUUGUCCAUCUUCAGCCUCAAAGUCUCUGAAACGAUCCUCGAUAGCCUCAAAGCUGAUCGACUUCCAUGCGCAUGUUUGUAGGGGAAUUUGGAUGUGUCGUUAGAGAUCUU